rnacentral:rRNA from 1 species
UAACCUGCCCAAGAGACUGGGAUAACACCUGGAAACAGAUGCUAAUACCGGAUAACAACACUAGACGCAUGUCUAGAGUUUAAAAGAUGGUUCUGCUAUCACUCUUGGAUGGACCUGCGGUGCAUUAGCUAGUUGGUAAGGUAACGGCUUAUCAAGGCAAUGAUGCAUAGCCGAGUUGAGAGACUGAUCGGCCACAUUGGGACUGAGACACGGCCCAAACUCCUACGGAAGGCAGCAG